CAGCAGCCACGGUAAUACGAAGGGUGCAAGCGUUACUCGGAAUUACUGGGCGUAAAGCGUGCGUAGGUGGUUGUUUAAGUCUGCUGUGAAAGCCCUGGGCUCAACCUGGGAAUUGCAGUGGAUACUGGGCAACUAGAGUAAGGUAGAGGAUAGUGGAAUUUCCGGUGUAGCAGUGAAAUGCGUAGAGAUCGGAAGGAACAUCUGUGGCGAAGGCGACUAUCUGGGCCAUUACUGACACUGAGGCACGAAAGCGUGGGGAGCAAACAGGAUUAGAUACCCGCGUAGUCCCUGUCUCUUAUAC
rnacentral:rRNA from 1 species